AUUGAACGCUGGCGGCAUGCUUUACACAUGCAAGUCGAACGGUAACAGGCCGCAAGGUGCUGACGAGUGGCGAACGGGUGAGUAAUGCAUCGGAACGUGCCCAGUCGUGGGGGAUAACGCAGCGAAAGCUGUGCUAAUACCGCAUACGAUCUAUGGAUGAAAGCGGGGGACCGUAAGGCCCCGCGCGAUUGGGACGGCCGAUGUCAGAUUAGGUAGUUGGUGGGGUAAAGGCCCACCAAGCCAACGAUCUGUAGCUGGUCUGAGAGGACGACCAGCCACACUGGGACUGAGACACGGCCCAGACUCCUACAGGAGGCAGCAGUGGGGAAUUUUGGACAAUGGGCGCAAGCCUGAUCCAGCAAUGCCGCGUGCAGGAAGAAGGCCUUCGGGUUGUAAACUGCUUUUGUACGGAACGAAACGGUCUGGGUUAAUACCUCGGGCUAAUGACGGUACCGUAAGAAUAAGCACCGGCUAACUACGUGCCAGCAGCCGCGGUAAUAC
rnacentral:rRNA from 1 species